rnacentral:rRNA from 1 species
ACGGAAGGUGCAAGCGUUAGUCGGAGUUAUUGGGCGUAAAGGGUGCGUAGGCGGUGUUCUAAGUUGGAUGUGAAAUUCUGUGGGCUCAACCCCAGACCUAUAUCCAAAACUGGAACGCUUGAGGAAUGGCGGAGAAAACGGAAUUCCAUGUGUAGCGGUGAAAUGCGUAGAUAUAUGGAAGAACACCUGUGGCGAAAGCGGUUUUCUAGCCUAUUCCUGACGCUAAGGCACGAAAGCAAGGGGAGCAAACAG